AUUGAACGCUGGCGGCAUGCCUUACACAUGCAAGUCGAACGGCAGCACGGGUGCUUGCACCUGGUGGCGAGUGGCGAACGGGUGAGUAAUACAUCGGAACAUGUCCUGUAGUGGGGGAUAGCCCGGCGAAAGCCGGAUUAAUACCGCAUACGAUCUACGGAUGAAAGCGGGGGACCUUCGGGCCUCGCGCUAUAGGGUUGGCCGAUGGCUGAUUAGCUCGUUGGUGGGGUAAAGGCCUACCAAGGCGACGAUCAGUAGCUGGUCUGAGAGGACGACCAGCCACACUGGGACUGAGCCACGGCCCAGACUCCUACGGGAGGCAGCAGUGGGGAAUUUUGGACAAUGGGCGAAAGCCUUAUCCAGCAAUGCCGCGUGCGUGAAGAAGGCCUUCGGGUUGUAAAGCACUUUUGUCCGGAAAGAAAUCCUUGGCUCUAAUACAGUCGGGGGAUGACGGUACCGGAAGAAUAAGCACCGGCUAACUACGUG
rnacentral:rRNA from 1 species